AGACCCCCCCCCCCCCUGGGUGACUCUCCAUGCUGGGUACUUGGUCAUGCUUAGUAUAUGUGUCUAGGAUAUAUAUAUAUAUAUAUAUGUGUAUAUAUAUGUAUAUGUAUAUAUGUGUAUAUAUAUAUAUGUGUAUAUAUGUGUAUAUGUGUCUAGGAUAUAU